rnacentral:rRNA from 1 species
AGCGAACGCUGGCGGCAGGCUUAACACAUGCAAGUCGAGCGGGCAUCCUUGUGGUGUCAGCGGCAGACGGGUGAGUAACGCGUGGGAACGUGCCCUUCGGUUCGGAAUAACUCAGGGAAACUUGAGCUAAUACCGGAUACGUGCGAGAGCAGAAAGGUUUAUCUGCCGAAGGAUCGGCCCGCGUCUGAUUAGCUAGUUGGUGAGGUUACGGCUCACCAAGGCGACGAUCAGUAGCUGGUCUGAGAGGAUGAUCAGCCACACUGGGACCGAGACACGGCCCAGACUCCUACGGGAGGCAGCAGUGGGGAAUAUUGGACAAUGGGGGCAACCCUGAUCCAGCCAUGCCGCGUGAGUGAUGACGGCCUUAGGGUUGUAAAGCUCUUUUCUCCGGGACGAUAAUGACGGUACCGGAGGAAUAAGCCCCGGCUAACUUCGUG